GAUGAACGCUGGCGGCGUGCUUAACACAUGCAAGUCGAGCGAUGAAGUUUCCUUCGGGAAACGGAUUAGCGGCGGACGGGUGAGUAACACGUGGGUAACCUGCCUCAUAGAGUGGAAUAGCCUUUCGAAAGGAAGAUUAAUACCGCAUAAUGUUGAAAGAUGGCAUCAUCAUUUAACCAAAGGAGAAAUCCGCUAUGAGAUGGACCCGCGGCGCAUUAGCUAGUUGGUGGGGUAACGGCCUACCAAGGCGACGAUGCGUAGCCGACCUGAGAGGGUGAUCGGCCACAUUGGGACUGAGACACGGCCCAGACUCCUACGGGAGGCAGCAGUGGGGAAUAUUGCACAAUGGGGGAAACCCUGAUGCAGCAACGCCGCGUGAGUGAUGAAGGUUUUCGGAUCGUAAAGCUCUGUCUUUGGGGAAGAUAAUGACGGUACCCAAGGAGGAAGCCACGGCUAACUACGUGCCAGCCGCCGCCGUAAAAC
rnacentral:rRNA from 1 species